rnacentral:rRNA from 1 species
GACGAACGCUGGCGGCGUGCUUAACACAUGCAAGUCGAACGGUAAGGCCUCUUCGGAGGUACACGAGUGGCGAACGGGUGAGUAACACGUGAGUAACCUGCCCUUGACUUUGGGAUAACAUCUGGAAACAGGUGCUAAUACCGGAUAUGAGCUUGUCCUGCAUGGGAUGGGUUGGAAAGCUCCGGCGGUCAUGGAUGGACUCGCGGCCUAUCAGCUUGUUGGUGAGGUAAUGGCUCACCAAGGCUUCGACGGGUAGCCGGCCUGAGAGGGCGACCGGCCACAUUGGGACUGAGAUACGGCCCAAACUCCUACGGGAGGCAGCAGUGGGGAAUAUUGCACAAUGGGCGGAAGCCUGAUGCAGCAACGCCGCGUGCGGGAUGACGGCCUUCGGGUUGUAAAGCUCUGUCCUCAAGGAAGAUAAUGACGGUACUUGAGGAGGAAGCCCCGGCUAACUACGUGCCAGCAGCCGCGGUAA